rnacentral:rRNA from 1 species
GGACGAACGCUGGCGGCGUGCCUAAUACAUGCAAGUCGAACGAACGGAGGAAGAGCUUGCUCUUCCAAAGUUAGUGGCGGACGGGUGAGUAACACGUGGGCAACCUGCCUGUAAGUUGGGGAUAACUCCGGGAAACCGGGGCUAAUACCGAAUGAUARARUGUGGCGCAUGCCACGCUUUUGAAAGAUGGUUUCGGCUAUCGCUUACAGAUGGGCCCGCGGUGCAUUAGCUAGUUGGUAGGGUAAUGGCCUACCAAGGCAACGAUGCAUAGCCGACCUGAGAGGGUGAUCGGCCACACUGGGACUGAGACACGGCCCAGACUCCUACGGGAGGCAGCAGUAGGGAAUCUUCCGCAAUGGACGAAAGUCUGACGGAGCAACGCCGCGUGUAUGAAGAAGGUUUUCGGAUCGUAAAGUACUGUUGUUAGAGAAGAACAAGGAUAAGAGUAACUGCUUGUCCCUUGACGGUAUCUAACC